rnacentral:rRNA from 1 species
AUUGAACGCUGGCGGCAGGCUUAACACAUGCAAGUCGAACGAGUGGCGGACGGGUGAGUAAUGCUUGGGAAUCUGGCUUAUGGAGGGGGAUAACGACUGGAAACUGUCGCUACUACCGCGUACCAUAGGAUGAGCCCAAGUGGGAUUGGGUAGUUGGUGGGGUAAUGGCCUACCAAGCCGACGAUCUCUAGCUGGUCGGAGAGGAUGACCAGCCACACCGGUACUGAGACACGGCCCGGACUCCCACGGGAGGCAGCAGUGGGGAAUAUUGGGCAAUGGGGGCAACCUGACCCAGCCAUGCCGCGUGAAUGAAGAAGGCCUUCGGGUUGUAAAGUUCUUUCGGUGACGAUGCGGUAAUCACAGAAGAAGCACCGGCUAACUCCGUGCCAGCCGCCGCGGUAAUAC